CCUGGUCAGUACCUGGAUGGGAGACCUCCUGGGAAAACUAGG
ensembl:rRNA 5S_rRNA 5S ribosomal RNA